GUCCUAAAAUUAGAAAAUAAAAGCCAAGGCAUGACUUAUAUUGCUGGUGGUGGUUACUAACCCUGGUUAGUUUAGCAUCCCGAAAACAAGAUUCACACUUUUCUUUGUGGUCUACAAUUAUCGCUUGAGUUUUCUCUGCCCCUAUUAUUAGAUUUAUGGCUUCUUCUUAGAUCAAGAUUGCUUCAUCUUCACCAUUUGUUUGUGGUCUAAUAGAUCACAAUCGACAUGAACGAUGAUGUAAUAGAGAGAGCAAGAGAAAAAAAGGAGAGUCAUGAGGAGCUGGAGGUAGGAUUAUCUACUCUGCUCGCAAAUUUGAACCGGUAUGGCAGAUCUGAACCGCAUAUGCAGAGCAUGGAAUGACCUCUACAUCUGUUGGUACUUCUACAAGCUACAGUGAAAAAGCAUGAAAAAUAAGCCGGGUCUCAGCCGGGUUUAUCCAGGUCGGUCGAGUUUCGCCGGACCAACUCUCAGACGGGUUUUUGCUUAGACCCGACCCGAUUUCAUGCCCGGAUCGGCCCGCCGGGUCGGUCCGGGUUUUAAAACUAUGCUAAUAGCUUCCUCGUUGAUGCCUAAUUCCAGUGACAAAAAUAAAUAAAAUAGGGACUUUUGUCAA